AUUGAACGCUAGCGGCAGGCCUAACACAUGCAAGUCGAACGGUAACAGGAAGCAGCUUGCUGCUUUGCUGACGAGUGGCGGACGGGUGAGUAAUGUCUGGGAAACUGCCUGAUGGAGGGGGAUAACUACUGGAAACGUGUAGCUAAUACCGCAUAACGUCGCAAGACCAAAGAGGGGGACCUUCGGGCCUCUUGCCAUCGGAUGUGCCCAGAUGGGAUUAGCUAGUAGGUGGGGUAAAGGCUCACCUAGGCGACGAUCCCUAGCUGGUCUGAGAGGAUGACCAGACACACUGGAACUGAGACACGGUCCAGACUCCUACGGGAGGCAGCAGUGGGGAAUAUUGCACAAUGGGCGCAAGCCUGAUGCAGCCAUGCCGCGUGUAUGAAGAAGGCCUUCGGGUUGUAAAGUACUUU
rnacentral:rRNA from 1 species